rnacentral:rRNA from 1 species
UACAGAGGUCUCAAGCGUUGUUCGGAUUCAUUGGGCGUAAAGGGUGCGUAGGUGGCGCCGUAAGUCGGGUGUGAAAUUUCGGAGCUUAACUCCGAAACUGCAUUCGAUACUGCGGUGCUUGAGGACUGGAGAGGAGACUGGAAUUCAUGGUGUAGCAGUGAAAUGCGUAGAUAUCUGGAGGAAUACCGGUGGCGAAGGCGGCAUCCUGGACCGGCAUUGACGCUGAUGAGCGAAAGCUAGGGGAGCAAACGGG